rnacentral:rRNA from 1 species
CCUACGGGUGGCUGCAGUGGGGAAUUUUGGACAAUGGGGGCAACCCUGAUCCAGCCAUGCCGCGUGCGGGAAGAAGGCCUUCGGGUUGUAAACCGCUUUCGGCCGGAACGAAAUCGCCGGGGAGAACAUCCCCGGUGGAUGACGGUACCGGAAGAAGAAGCACCGGCUAACUACGUGCCAGCAGCCGCGGUAAUACGUAGGGUGCGUGCGGUAAUCGGAAUUACUGGGGGUGAAGCGUUAGCAGGCGGUUGAAAUCCCCGGGCUGAACCGGGGAACUGCGUUUGUGACUGGCGGGCUGGAGUGCGGAAGAGGGAGGUGGAAUACCACGUGUAGCAGUGAAAUGCGUAGAGAUGUGGAGGAACACCGAUGGCGAAGGCAGCCUCCUGGUCUAGCACUGACGCUCAUGCACGAAAGCGUGGGGAGCAAACAGGAUUAGAUACCCUUGUAGUC